rnacentral:misc_RNA from 1 species
GAUGAAGAACGUAGCGAAAUGCGAUAAGUAAUGUGAAUUGCAGAAUUCAGUGAAUCAUCGAAUCUUUGAACGCACAUUGCGCCCCCCAGUAUUCUGGCGGGCAUGCCUGUUCGAGCGUCAUUUCAACCAUCAAGCCCUGCUUGUGUUGGGUUCCUGCGGCUGCCCGCAGGCCCUGAAAACCAGUGGCGGGCUCGCUAGUCACACCGAGCGCAGUAGCACAUCUCGCUCAGGGCGUGCGGCGGGCUCCAGCCGUUAAAGCACCCACCUUUCGCAAGGUUGACCUCGGAUCAGGUAGGAAUACCCGCUGAACUUAAGCAUAUCAAUAAGCGGAGGA